CGUAGAGCCGCCUACCACUCCCAUGGCGUUCCCAGCCUGUGCCGGGCUGGGCCUGCACUGAUUUAUGUGGCAGUCCUGUGUCAUACUCUCGACCUGAAAAGGAUUUGCACUCCUAUAUUUACCAGGGUGGUCAGGGCAGCCCUCUGGAAACACAGAAAGCCCAGUCUCCGGGCCUCGCUCCCAGACAGUCGUUUCACAACUCUGUGCCAAUAACGUGGACAUUUUGGACCUUACCAGAAUCGGAUGAGGCUCCAGUGUUUCCGUAGCGGGAUGUUUUAGCGGUGCAGAGGUCAGAGUCGACGCGCUCGCGUCUACGCAGCCACAUGGCCACGUUUUGGUAUGCAGAUACACAGACGCAGGCUGAAGGAGAUCUCAGGGAGGAGCUGUGCCGGCUCCAUGUCCUUAACCUGUUUGCAGAAGGGCAACGGAGGGCGGAGCGAAGGGAAAGGCAACAUACCCUUCGUCCGAAAUGGAACACCAGGUGGCAGGAAGUGGGCAGGAGGCCUUUGAAGAUGACCCCUGGUCUCCGCGUUGGGAUGGUCUCGGCGAUCGAUUCAGCCAGAGAUGGCAGGGAGGGGAGCCAGGUGCCCCCAGAGGGUCUUCAGACCACGCAGAUCUAUUAUGGGCGAGGAGGAGAGAGUCGGCUGGGGCCCAGCCCCACUGCUCCCAGUCAUAUCACUGUGGACACAGCCAGAGUCAACUGGCUGCAUCCUAACAAGCAGGCAAACACUGAGAACAGUCUGGUGCACAACAAACUCAACAGGCUCUGCCUCCAUACUGUAAGCUUUAGGAAGGGCUUCCACUGCAGACUGCUGUCAAAUCUGUAUAUAAAACAUUGCAUAACACUGAAUAAUUGGUGUGAGCCCAUACAUGCUAGUAUGCUACGUCUGACACAUGUAACACAUGCAGGUCAGCGAAGAGCAUUUGGAAAUGAAAGAAUCAGAGACACAGAAAUGAGCUUGUUUCGUAUAUUAAUAUAUUUAUUUUCUUACAACCACAGAUUGCAGUUGAGUGACUUGAGAAACUGUGGUGCAGAAGUUGUGGGCUGAAAUGAUAAAUCAACAACAAAAACAAGAUUCAAUAAUACCACAUAACAGAAAGAGCGAGGAAUCAUCAAAAAAGGGACACGAACAAAAAGAAAGCACAAAAGCAGAAAAUUAAAUCAGCAGAUGUUUGUGUGCAAGUGUGCACACGUGAUUGUGGCGAGCUGCUAAGUGAUCUGGUAAAUUGCCAACAUUACACUGAAUUUGUCAGAAAGAAAAUAUCAGCAAAUACUGAACAGCCAUUGUAUGUUUUGGGAUAGUUUUGCCAGUUAACACUAAUGCAAAAACAUCCAGUGAUAAAGCUGAAAUAAUGAGAGGAAUCAGUAGGUAGAUUUGCACGUCUAUGAAUCAGGCUUCCAUUCAUAGUGUUCAUCUAGGGCAGCUCCAGAAAUGCGCGGGCUGCUUUGUAUUUUGGCCAGCUUUGGAGGAGGUGAGUGCUAUCAGUGUCUACAUGCUCAUCCCUCUGUAUUUCUGUGUUUGCUGCUCACAACAUGUAAGCAAACACACAUGUGCACACACAAUUAAACUCACAAACAGAAACUCAAAUCCUGAUCCCCCACCCUCUCCAUGCUUCCCUCCCCAGGCAAGGAAAUGAAAGCUGGGCACUGGGAGAAGGAUGGCUGCAAGAAAUGAAGACGUGUCUGAUUUCCUCAGCAACCAAUGAUGUUGCAGCGCUCUGUACUCUCUGCCCUCUGAUAGGUCUUUGUCACUCUCUUCAUCUUGAGGCCCAUGUCAUUCCCUCUAAUCCCCCUCCCAAACACAAGCAGGCCAAUCCCGAGACAAGACUCAGGGGCUGGGGAGGGAUGAAGCAGCACUGGCUGGGAAAGAGUGAGGGAUGCAGCUCAGGAGGAGAGAAAGGGAGCACCAGAAGCUGAUGGUGGUGUGAGAAGGAGCCAAUGUGUUGUUAUUAAUAAAGCAUUAAAAAAAGUGAGCACAUCAAAGCAUACAGGGGCUAUGCUAUCAUACAUGAAAGUAACGCACUAUGGCUUAAUGUUUCCUAAGGCAUGUUAUGGCGACGCGGCUUUGAUUUGAAAUGCAUUGUGUGGAAAAUGGAUUUACAGGAGUGGGGAGAGAAAGCCUGGUGUGGGAUCAGACCAUAAUUUAAAACCUGACCUCAUAGGCUCUUCAAAGUGUCUGUGAGCGUGGAUAUUUAGGACGUCCUUACAGCGUGUGUGAGAGACCCAAACCACAACAACAUGAACAACAAAUAACACACACAUGCAUGUAAGGGAUGCAGAGAACACCUGCAAAAACAAAGAAUGAGAAAUUACUAUCAAAUCCAACAUGUACCAUUUCACGUUUUGAUUAGCAAAUAUGAUUGGAACUAAUUUUUAUUCUCGCCUUUUUGAGCGCACAGGGGUCGCACCUGAUUGUACUGUGCUCCUUCACCAAUCAAAGCCUGCAGGAAGUGAGGCAUUUUUUUUCUCCAUUGUGCUCCCAUGGCCAGGGUUGGGACUCACUAAUGGCUCGACGGCCUCACUGUGCAGGCUGCUGGCGAAGAGAAACCAGGGGGAGAAGGAAAAGGAAGAAGAAGAAGAAGCAGGAGGAGGAGAACGGGGAAGAGAGGGAGGAAAAAUGAGUCGCUAAAGAGCAAGGGGUUGCCCUGAAGGUUAACAUCUCAAUCAUGAGGGGACAAUGCUCUCUAGUCAAAUGGUUUCGGCUUCUUGAAAGUCAAGAUGAAGCCACAGGGCACAACAGUGUCAAAGAGGCAGCCGGGAGAUCGGCUCUCUGCACCGCAGGAUGACCAGGACACGUGUGUUUGAGGUGGCAGGUUGCUGUGUUUACGUGUGCACGCCACACACACCCCCACCUUGCGUGCUGGAAACAGCUAUAACCUCACAACAUACAGAAGGACUGGGGGUGGGAUAUCAGUUUCACUUUAUUUUUUUCUGACAAAUGACACUCUGACAGUUGGAAAAAAUGUUGGGGUCCCUGAACAGAUUUCUCAGUUACAAAAAUAAAAUGUGUUGGAUCAGACAAAGACAGACAUUUUACAUUCUACUUUUGAACCCCAAUGAGAGCACUGACAAAUGCCACCCCACCCCCACUCCGUCUGUGCCAUGAUUGUUUUUUCUCUCCAGAAAUGUCAUAUAGUUAAGAGGUGAUAAUUCUAUAUGGCACAAACAGACACUGACUUCUUCCAAGUGUACAUAGCAUAUAGGCUGACAGAUUGAGAUGGUGUAACAUGUCUUUGCAUCACUCUAAAUAGGCAUGCGAGCUUUAAACAUUCUUUAUAUACCCUGAGAUUCCAUUGGAAACCUUCUGAAAUGGAAAAAAGAACUCAAAUGCAUUGCACUGGAGGUGAAAAAAAAUGUUCAGAGGUUAAAAAUAGCGCAGACCUCAGUGAUACGUGAAAAACUGUAGUACUCUUAUGUGUGUGCAGGUGUAGCCUACAUUCACGAAAACUCUCGAAAUGCAGAAAACUGCAUUGAUACACAUCGUACUGAAUCCCCUGAGGGUUGAUGUUAACGCUUAGUCUGCAGCGCAACAGAUCCUAUGUUAAAUGCACAUUUAAAGAAACGCUUAUGUCAGUUUCUAUGAAUCUUGUGAUGCAUUUUUUUUGCUUCCAACAGUUUAAAGAGAAACUUUUGUCAGAUUUAUGUCACGUCAACACUUGAAUUUAGCGUCUUUCAGAGCCCUUAUGUUUUAAGUUAGGUUAAACAUGAAAUGCAAAACUUAAUUGUAGCUGCUGCUUUGGUGAUUUACUCUAUAAUGAAGAAUUGUAGGUAAGUGAGAGUCGGUGGCUUUUUAAAAUUCAAAUAAGACAAACACUUCUGAAACACCUCCACAUUGAAACAUCCUCUUUCACAGAUGAAAAUUAAGCCAUGCUCUUUUGCAGACUGGUAGUAGUGUGAGUGGAGCCAAAUGAUCUGCAAAUGAGGCGAAACGUUUAAGUAGCUUAGGGGACUGCAGGAAGUCAACCAUGAAACACGUGGUUCUUCCAAAGCAGUGUAAAAAUUAAUACUGGUGCUCAAAAAUACCUAAAACUAGAAAUAUAACUGGACAAUAGGAGGUCAAAAUACAGUGAGUGGAUUUGAGUUAAUGGGUCAGUGCAACCAAAUUACUUAUUUUCUCACUAACAUAAAUCUAAACAUACAGAAAGUUGGGGUUUUGUUGUUUAGUAUUUGGAGAUUUCUGUCUUUCUCUUAAAUAUUCACUGAGAGGUCUGUUCAAGAACCAGUGUAACAAGAGCAUCGUUUCCGUUCAAUGAUUUGGGUGAAAGGACUGUUUAAAGCUCAGGUAGGCAUUUUUCCCAUAAUACCCUGUCAGGAUAUUGUGACUCAAGUAGUCUGAGAGAGAAUUUUGCACUUCCUCUUUGUUCUUUGGAAAAUCUAACCUGAAAUGUCAGUCACAGGGCGUUUCAUGCAGAUCAUUUGAGAAAGUAUAAAAAGCAACAAGUCUACAGUGGAAAUAGGAGGUGUGGUGCAAUGGGACAAACAGAGGGAUCAAAACCUGAUACAAGCUAGAAGUGAAUAUAAGGCUGAUUACUUUUGUGUAAUUGAAGCUGCUGAGGGGCUGUUUGUUGUUGUUGUUUGUUUGUUGAUCAGAGCUUUCCAGAUUACUGCCUACUGCAGCUUUAAGACAUAGUUUGCAUGAUGGCAGCAAGAACUAAAGAAGUAACGUAACCUGGAUGAAGAACUUGCCUGAGUCACUUCAAAUUCAAAGUAACGUCAACACAAAUUAAAAUGAUGAUUUGAAAGUGUAUUAAAUGGUAGCAGAGGCAUCAAAUUAGUGUAAAACAUUUGUUCACUGCUCAUCUUGUUAAUCUGUAUUACUGCUCAUCGUGCUCUCUUUAGUGUACACCACAUUUAGUCAUUUUUUAAAAUUAUUCAGACGUACCACAAUUCACCACAUUUCAACUUACACUGUCAUUAACCAGUCUGAGUUUUAUAUAUAAAAAAAAGGUCUGUAUUUUUAAAAGUAGUCCAAUAGGGCAAUUCUAAGCUCAAACUAUGUUAAUACCUUCCUAAUUGCAGGAAUUGCAAAGAAAUCCACCGCAAAUGAAAAUCUAAGAGGGCAAAUUGGUACAUUGGCAUAUAUAAUUUAUUGAGCAAAUGUUGAAAUGGCACUUUUAUAGAAAAGGAGGUUCUCUUCCUUCUUAGGUGAAACACUGAAAUGGUUCCAGUAUGAAGUACCUCUUAGGACACCUAUAUUAGGUAAGCAUAUAAACGGCUUAAUUAAGGUGACAGUAAAUGUGCAUGCUUAGGGCUCAGGAAGAUAUUAAUACAUUCUCCACCCCAACAUUGUUGUCAGAUGGCACAUGCAGUUAUCAGAAGGGAACAACUCUGUGUGGGGCUUGGUGCCGACAAGGAUGAAGACAUGCUUUAUUUUUUGUCGUGGUAAUGUGAUGAUACUUGAUGCCAUAACAGCAUUUUUUUGCGCAGGAUUCUGAAUCAGAAACGUGCUAAAUAUAAAUAUGCUAAAAUAGUUUCAAAUGGGGUUUCGGGAAAGAAAGGGAGAAAGAAGAAAGAUCUGCUUCAAAUGUUUUCCCUUUCUUCCCCGGAGAACUAUGUUCGUUUAGCAAAGAGUUCUUGAAGGUGAGAGAAGCGAACCUUAUUCUGGCCUUUCUAGGUCAGAAGAGAGCUUGAAAUGUAAAGGUCUGUUUAUUGGAGCACUUCAGUUGUGUUGUAGCAGAUCACAAGCUUUUGUUUUGUUGUCAAGCUAGUAGCUGGUUGCUUUCUGCAUCAGGUCGAGUGCUGAGCAAUGUGACUGUAAACCAUUAAAUAUUGUGACUUCUCAGAGUGUAAAAUACAUGCAAAGGAGGAUACAGCCAGCUGAAGGCAGGAGGUGGAACAGUUUUUCCCACCCCCAAAAUUCUUGCAUGUGAAAACCUGAGCUGCUUCCAUGAAAGGCUCUUAAAGGCAUGCAAAAAUCUGCUCUUCUGCAGCUUCUUUGCUUUGACAAACUAAAAUAGGAACCAGCUAGCACUAGUGUUCCUCAUAAACAAGCAUCUAUGACAGAAGAAAUAUGUUUUUUUUUCUCGCUCUCUAAAGACUGCUGAAAAAUACACAAACAGCACUGACAGAGAAUACGGCGAACAUAACAAUGUCAGGCAAGAUGUUUGUCAAUCUCUGGAUUAAUUGCAAGCUGCAUGUUUACAUGCACCUGUACAGAAAUGUAAUGUAUCUGCUAAAUUGUGGCUGGCAUUUUGUGAAAAAGUGUAAGUUUACAGGAUUGAGGAAACAAACACAUACAAGCAGGGCUGUUAUAACUUUUUUGGGAGCCCUGU
ensembl:lncRNA